rnacentral:rRNA from 1 species
AAAUUGAAGAGUUUGAUCAUGGCUCAGAUUGAACGCUGGCGGCAGGCCUAACACAUGCAAGUCGAACGGUAACAGGAAGAAGCUUGCUUCUUUGCUGACGAGUGGCGGACGGGUGAGUAAUGUCUGGGAAACUGCCUGAUGGAGGGGGAUAACUACUGGAAACGGUAGCUAAUACCGCAUAACGUCGCAAGACCAAAGAGGGGGACCUUUGGGCCUCUUGCCAUCGGAUGUGCCCAGAUGGGAUUAGCU